CAUUUAUCAAAACCUACAUGAAUCAACACACGUUAGUUCGAGAACGUGUUUCUUACAGUGCUUAGCCUUAUGCAGUGAAUAGGUAGCAAAUAUGAGCAUAAUAUUUCUUAGUUGGAGACAUAUUUGCAUCGGCUGGCUUGAUUGAUAGUGACUUUGAUAUGUGUAUAUUUGCGAAUACGUGUAUUAUGUUCACCAUGCUAGCAUCCAAAGAACAAUUGUAAGUUUUGCAAGGGGAGGUUGGUUCGUGCCUUUGUAUGUUUGCUUAGCUUUGCUCUGUUCUAUAGGCCCCGUUUGAGUUGCCCUGGGUAACACCUUGCUGUCAUGGAAAUAAAGUUUUUGAAAAUAUACACUUAUUGAUGAAAAUAGAGUUAUUUUAGAAUACAUAGUGAAAUAUCAAUUAGUUUGGAUGAAAUAAUGACUUUAACACGUUUAUUGCAGCUUUCUUGUGUUAGAUUGUUUAGGUCCCUCCUCAAAAUUCUGCCCCAGUUAGGAAGAUGAUCCUUCGGUUACGCACGACGAAAUUUGCUGAAUCUUCUUCGGAAUUUUGAGAAUCCUUCUCAAAAUUCUGCCCCAAUCACUUAAUCGAUUUCUGACUUUUCGACGUAUGAUAGUGUUGGCUGGAGUUGCUACGGAAUUUCGAGGGUCCUCCUUAAAAUUCUGCAUCAGUUUCUAGUGCUGGGGGACAUAAAGAUUUUAUUAAGAUAUGACCGAACCCACAAACUUGCCUACGUAUCCCCUCUUAAAGGAGAAUCAAGUCAAGCAUAGUUCAGUUACACCAUUUGAAAGAAUGUGAACAGUCGAAACAUAGUAUCUCUUAAGAGCGUCUUAAUUGAUUAGUUUUGCCAGACUUCUCCGUACAUUUCUGCAGGUAUAAGUGCUCCCCAUGUUAGCACCCAAUGAACCAUGUAAGGACCUUUCCAGUUGGGAGAUAUUUUUCCUUUGACUUCAUCUUGAUGCGAAAAGAUCUUCUUUAGCACCAACUGUCCCAGUGUGAAUUAUCUUGGUUUGACCUUAUUGUUGAAAGCUCUGGACAUUCUGUUCUAAUAAAGCUAACUUUGACAUAUUGCAUUUAUUCGUUUUCUAUAUAUAAGGGUCAGUUGGUCAUAAGCGGCUCCUUAUCCAUUCUACAUCACUUAGUUCAUCUUCCUGCAUGAUCCUUAAUGAGGGAAUUUCUACCUCGGUUGGAAUAGCAGCUUCGGUACCAUAAACUAGUAAAUAAGGGGUUGCCCCGGUUGAUAUGUGGAUCGUACCGUAGUACCCCAAUAGGGAAAAGGGUAACUUCUCGUGCCAUUAUUUGUGUUUUUCUACUAUCUUCCUUAGUAUUUUCUUGAUGCUCUUGUUAGUAGCUUCCACAUCUCCAUUCAUUUAAGGCAUAUAUGUUGUAGAGUUCCUGUGCUUGAUUUUGAAGGUUUCACACAUGGUUUUCAUCAGAUCACUGUUGAUAUUGGCGGCAUUAUCAUUGAUAAUAGACUCGGGAACCCCAAAUCGGCAAAUAAUAUGAUCUUUGACAAAAUGUGCGAUGACUUUCUUGGUUACAGCUGGAUGCAGCCUUUACCCAUUUUGUGAAGUAGUCAAUGGCCACUAAAAUGAACAUGUGCCCAUUUGAAGCAGUGAGCUCGAUUGGACCGAUGACAUCCAGUCCCCAGGCGGCAAAAGGCCAAGGGGCACUUGUUGCAUUGAGCUUGUUUGGUGGUACCUUUAUCUUGUCUACAUGAACCUGGCAUUAUUGGCAUUUCUAUACGUACCAGAUGCAAUUCAUUUUCAUGGUCAUCCAAAAGUAUCCAGCUCUAAGUAUUUUAUUGGCUAGGACAAAACCAUUCAUAUGUGGUCCACAAUUCCUAGCAUGUAUCUCCUCGAGAAAUUUUGAAGCCUCUUUUGCGUCAACACACCUUAAUAACUCUAGAUCAGGAGUUCUUCUAUACAGAGUCCCUCCGCUUUAGAAGAAGUGAUUGGAUAGCCUUCGCAGAGUGUGUUUCUGAAUAUGGUUUGCUUGCUAUGGAUAUUCUCCUCUAGCCAAAUAUUUUGUGAUUUCGUGGAACCAACAUUUUCCAUCCGUUUCUUCUUCAACAUGAGCAGAGUAAGCUAGUUGGUUAUGGAUUUUCACCAUGAUGGGAUCAAUAAAUUCUUGUUUGGAUGUUGUAUCAUUGAUGAUAAGGUGCCCAAUGCAUAUGAAAACUCAUUCUGAAUUCUGGGCACAUGUUUAAAUUCUAUCAUUGUAAAUCUCUUCAUUAGUUCCUGCACAUGAUACAAGUAUGGAAGUAUCUUCAUGUUCUUUGUAGCCCAUUAUGCUUAAACUUGAUGUACCAGAAGAUCCAAUUCACUUAUUACCAAUAGCUCUUGUAUAUCCAUAUCGAUGUCCAGAUUGAGCCCCAUGGUGCAAGCUUCGCAUUUUUUCAUGUUGUUGGUGCAUGGAAACCUAAGUUUUGUGGAUACGGGGUAAUGUUAACCUAUUUCUAAUACCAAAACUGCUCUGAUGCGCACUCAUUUGAAGUUUGCAUCUCCAUCGAAGAACAUUCUCCAACUAUUGUAUGUUUCAAUAAUGUCCUCUCCUACUAAUGAUACUUUUUCACAAGAAAAUACGUUGUUUAUGGUUAGUAUUAUCCUCUCAUAUGAUUUUUAGCAAGAUGGUCUGCCAAUGCUGGCCCUUUGAUUGCCUUAUGCGUUACAUAGAUUAUGUCGAACUCACUUAAUAAUAUUUGCCAUUUAGCUAACUUCUCGGUUUCAAUGGGCUUAUGAAAGAUGUACUUUAGAGGGUUCAUCCUGGAUAUGAGGUAUGUGGUAUAGGCACAGAAGUAAUGCCUCAAUUUCUUAGCUAUCCAAGUUAAAGUACAACAAGUGCAUUCCAGCAAGGAGUAUCGUUCUUCAUAAGGUGUGAACUUCUUACUCAAGCAGUAUAUCCUUUCUUCUUGUCUCGUCAUCUUGUCCCAAAACACAUCUGAAAACUCCAUCUAAUACAGAUAGAUAGAAUAGCAAAGGUCUCCCAGGUUCUUGUGGGACUAGGACUGGUGGUGUGGAUAGGUAUUCCUUGAUUUUGUCAAAAGCCUUCUGAGAAUCUUCGGACUAACUCGUUUCAGCAUCUUUCCUCAACAUUUUGAAGAUGGGUUCACAUAUAACUGCGGAGUGUGCUAUGAAGUAACUAAUGUAUUUGAGGUGUCUUAUGAAGCUCGUCGCAAUCUUCUUGCUCUUUGGCGAUGGUAACUCUUGAAUAACCUUAACUUUGGACGGGUCAAAAUCGAUUCCUCGGCGGCUGACAAUGAAUCCCAACAACUUUCCUACGGGUACCCCGAAUGCACAUUUUGCAGGGUUCAGUUUUAUAUUGUACCUCCUUAACCUGUCAAAGAACUUUCUCAAGUUCGCUAUGUGAUUCGCGACCCUCUUGGAUUUGAUGAUGAUGUCGUCAAUGUCGCACCUCCUUUUUACUACCCCCACAAGGAGUAUAAGGGAGCUUUUUCCAAUUAAGUGACAAUCGAAAUAGAAUUUUUUGUUUAUUAUUCAGAGUCGCCACUUGGAAUAAUUUAUGGUGUCCAAAGUCACCGGUUUUUAAAUCCCAAAUCGAGGAAAGAUUGACUCUAUUUUAUAGACCGCGAAUACAAAAAUUCGGGUAAGGGAUUCUAUUAACCCAAUAGAAUGUGUUAGGCAUUCUCGGGUUCCGUAGUUUUAGCACGGUCAUUGAAAUAUUAUUAUUGUCCGAUUUAUUUGGUUUUAAAACACUUUUAAGCCUAUGUGCAUUUUUAACUUUUGGAAAACUGCUUUGACUUAUUUAAAGAAUUAAUCCAAGGUUAUUUAAAACAUAUCGCAAGCCACACUACAUGAAAUGCACCCGUGAGUCACGGCAUGUUCUAUUUAACCUUGUUGGAAAUUAGAACCGGGCCACAUAAAAUGUAUCCCCGGGUUUUAGUAAUAACUCUGAUUGCUAUAUAAUCAACGCGCCUAAAGCAAACUACAAAGCUCAUUUUUAAUAGCUAAAUUAAGACGUUUGUUAGGGCCAUGGAUGAUUCAAUUGCUCAUGGCACACCUCAAGUCUAAUUCUUUAAAUGAUUUCUUGGUCUAGUCUUAUGAGGGUCAUAAAUUAUAAAUUUUAUUGAUAUGGCACGCAUCAAUCUAAAGUAAGGUCACACUUAAUUAAAAAAAAGAGUUUGAAUUUUAGCCGAGUUAAAUUCUGAUUACAUUGUUCCAAACCUAAACUACAUGAGGCAUUAUAUCUAAAAUUAAACUUGGGGGAAAACCCAAACUUGCAACAGGUCUGAAAGCAAUAAACAUCCUUUAAAAAGGACUUGGGCUUGAGGAACAGCCCAAGGUUGGGAAUGAAAAAUCGAAAACCUCAAGAACUUAGCUGGGUCAAACUCGAGGCCCAAAUAGGAGAAUCAUUGAUUAUUCAAAGCAAACUCUAUCACCAUAAUAACCCAAAAUCGAUUUAAAUUAAACGAAAAAGAAGAGUGGAUAAAAGGUCGACAUUAAUUUGAAACAACCCAUCUUGAGGCUGGGCCAACUCGAAUAUGGGCCCAAGCCACUCCCUAGAGCCUGUUACAACACUUACACGUUUUGAUGGUUCUAAUAUGCAUGCUAUUAAUCAACCUAAGAGGUCAAUUUCUGAAGUUUUACUCAAAGACUAAUCCUUACUCCUAUUAUCACGUGUAACAGUACAACUACGUGAAUUCUCAUUCAAAAGUCUUUGGAAAACAAUCCCAAACAACUAGAAUCAUUAAAUAGCUAAUUAACAAGCACUUUGAAUAAGAUAAAGUCCUAAAUUAAGUCUAUAUCAUAACGGUCCAAAAUCAAACACAUGACAUCAAGAAUUUAACCAAAAACUAAACUUGCAUGCGAAGCUAAAGUUUAACACAGCCUAUAAGUACUGUCAACAACAUGGGUAAAUUCAUAGAUCAUAUAGUAAAACCCAAUGUAAUGCAUAAAACAAGAUAGAUUUUAUACGAAAUCAACUAAUACUAUGCUUAAACUCCACAUUUGAUUACAUGCUUCAAUUUUGAGCUUUAAUAUUCAAUAAGGUCCAAAAGGGGUACCUGAAUAUCAAAAGAAACCAAAGAAAAUGAAGGUUCAGCAGUAGCAAUAGUGUAGAUUAUCAUAGCAAGGUUCAGCUCCUUAGACCAUAUUAACCCAGAUAAACAAGAGUUCCUUGAAGCUUUUUGAAUUCCAAUUAACACUUAAGACUAAGGAGCAAGAAUUAGAACCAAUUUCCACCCAAAAGAUGCAGAAAUUUUAAAGUAUUUUUUCAGAGUAGCUCUUUCAACCGCUUUUGAUUUUUAGUAUUCUGAUCUUUGACUCUAAACUAAAGAACAUGAGCCUUAUACAAUCGGCUCCUAGGGCAACAAAAUCUGAUUCUACCUUUCAUUAUUUACCCCUUCCUCAAUUUUAUUUUCAUUUUGGACCCUAAGUUGUAGCCUAUUUGCUAAGUCAGCCCGUUCCUCGGUUUCUUUGAAACUUCCUAGUUAGUUAGACCAGAUUCCCUCAAGUUAAAAUGACCUACGCAACCUUCAACACCCCUGUAUUUACCCUCAGGGGAUCACUCCUGGGUCAAACUAACCCAAGACCCAACCUAACCCACGGGCAUGUGUACUAACAACCCAAAUUAAAUCUGAGACCAUAAAGGAAUGUUAUCAGUCAUAAAUUUAAGCAAAUAAACCCCUGAAUUUAAAAAGACUUCAAAAGAGACACUUGGAAACAAUAAUUUAUAAACAAAAGCACUUAAACUAAUUGAGACUAUUAUUAGCAAAUACAGUCAAUGCAUGAGCCUAGUUUGACCUUUGAAAGAAUUAAAUUAACCAUCUAAACAAGGAGUCAAAUUAUACCAAGAUAAAAAUAUGAUGAUUUCAAUUAAAUGCCAAAAUAAACCCAAAUUAAAGAGAGAAAAGAACCGGAGCCCUAAUGACCUAAAAGCCUACUCAAUGUUACCCCCUAACCAACUGAUUAUCAUUAAGAAGCUUAAAGUCUGAAACCUAAGUCAUGUAAUUGGACAAGAACCAAAACUCAUGAAGAAAUAAACCGAAGAAAGAAGAGGAGAAAAUUAGAGGGAAACAAAUAACACAAAGUAAAAGAGAAUUACCCCCAUACUUGCUCAGACAGAACUCGAACAACUCUUUUUAAAGAAGCAAAUGAACCUUCGACUAUCAUUAAUCGAUUGUCCUUAGCAUGGGACAGUUGAUUAAUGAUGGUUUGGGGUUCAUUCGGCCACAUACUAACCCAAAAAAGAACAAGGGGUGAAACCUAGGGAUUUUUCAAACCCCUGCUUCAACGUUGAAAGGAGACGAAAGCACAUUCGAGGAGAGAAAGGGUGAAGGGUUGCAUGGUGUAAGCUUGGGUAGAUUUGGGGAUUUUAGGGUUUUGGGGUGUUGGACUUAGAUCUUAAUUUCGAGAAGCUUGGUAAUGGUUUGAGAAGAGUAAGUUGGGGAUUCGGGAUGAGUGGAUAGAGAGGAUUCCAAGGUGUUAAUGGCGGAGAUUGGAGGUCAAUUGCCGGUAGAGAUGCUCCAGAACAAUAACUCAUAACUUGAAAAAAAUUCGAGAUACAAUUUAUAUCUUCAAAGUGGAGGAAAAAGUGAUGAUUCUGGUAUAAAUCGUGGCACGACUAUAAAUAAGAUGCUUGUUGGGAGGCAACCUAAUUUUACUGGUUUCUUUUAUUUUUAUUUUUUUAUUUUUUUUAUUGUGUUACUUUGUAGUGUUGUUCUUAAUUAUGAAGAAGUAGGAGCAUGGUAAAUAAAUCCAUUAGGUGCGUGAAAAAUCAAGUGGAUGAUUGGAACUAAGUGGGGGAUGCUUGCGCAAAAGAUCAUACCUGAAGAAGUCUGAGUAUCCUUUGUGUUGCUAAUACUUCAACCAUUGACCUACCAUGGAGUCUCUUUUACCAUCUUGUUACUUAUGGUAUGUAUUGAGGGCAAUGCAGAAUUUGUUA
rnacentral:lncRNA from 1 species